GUGGGGAAUCUUAGACAAUGGGGGAAACCCUGAUCUAGCCAUGCCGCGUGAGCGAUGAAGGCCUUAGGGUUGUAAAGCUCUUUCAGCUGGGAAGAUAAUGACGGUACCAGCAGAAGAAGCCCCGGCUAACUCCGUGACAGCAGCCGCGGUAAUACGGAGGGGGCUAGCGUUGUUCGGAAUUACUGGGCGUAAAGCGCGCGUAGGUGGACCAGAAAGUUGGAGGUGAAAUCCCAGGGCUCAACCUUGGAACUGCCUUCAAAACUCCUGGUCUGGAGUUCGAGAGAGGUGAGUGGAAUUCCGAGUGUAGAGGUGAAAUUCGUAGAUAUUCGGAGGAACACCAGUGGCGAAGGCGGCUCACUGGCUCGAUACUGACGCUGAGGUGCGAAAGCGUGGGGAGCAAACAGGAUUAGAAACCCUGGUAGUCC
rnacentral:rRNA from 1 species